AUGGAUUACAUGAUUGCUUUUCAAAACACAACAUCAAAUGUAGUCGAGCACACCGCUUCGGUUGGUGGAAGUUUUGAACUUGGUAUUCAUAAUAACCCAUGUAUAUGUUUACUAACAGUAACUAUUUCAUCUGAUGGUACUGCUAUUGUGUCACAAAGAACAAGUACUCUGAUGAUGCCAAGAAGCAUAAUGUCGCAAGAACUUUUAUGUCACUGUUUUCUGUUCAAUGUAUUUCAUCAGCAGGUGAGAGAGCCUGCUGAAACUUUAUUUUAUUUCAUCUUUUUUAACUGGCAAACAGCUUGCUUUGCGUAUGAUCAAACCUUCAAACUGAUUAGGUUCCAUAUCAUAAACAAAGCAGAUGUAGCUGGUUCUACUUUUGUUGAAUUAUUAUGGUUACAAGGAUCAACAUAUGUAUUUUUUUGA
rnacentral:rRNA from 1 species